GACAGAGGAGGCAAGCGUUGUCCGGAUUAACUGGGCGUAAAGCGUCCGCAGGUGGCACGGUCAGUGGGGUGUGAAAGCCGGUGGCUUAACCGCCGGAGGCCAUCCCAAACUGCCGCGCUGGAGUCGGGCAGAGGGUGCCGGAAUUGCCGGUGUAGUGGUGAAAUGCGUAGAUAUCGUAAGGAAGACCAGUGGCGAAGGCGGGUCUCUGGACAGUUCCUGACGCUGAGGCACGAAGGCCAGGGGAGCAAACCGGGG
rnacentral:rRNA from 1 species